UAGAGUUUGAUCCUGGCUCAGAGUGAACGCUGGCGGCAUGCCUAACACAUGCAAGUCGAACGGUAACAGGCCCGCAAGGGUGCUGACGAGUGGCGGACGGGUGAGGAAUACAUCGGAAUCUGCCCGGUUGUGGGGGAUAACGUAGGGAAACUUACGCUAAUACCGCAUACGACCGAAAGGUGAAAGCGUGGGAUCCGCAAGGACCUCGCGCAGCCGGAUGAGCCGAUGUCGGAUUAGCUAGUUGGCGGGGUAAAGGCCCACCAAGGCGACGAUCCGUAGCUGGUCUGAGAGGAUGAUCAGCCACACUGGGACUGAGACACGGCCCAGACUCCUACGGGAGGCAGCAUUGGGGAACAUUGGACAAUGGGGGCAACCCUGAUCCACCAAUGCCGCGUGUGUGAAAAAAGGCCUUCGGGUUGUAAAGCACUUUUAUCCGGAACGAAACGUGUCAGGCGAAUAGCUUGGCAAACUGACGGUACCGGAGGAAUAAGCACCGGCUAACUUCGUGCCAGCAGCCGCGGUAAUACGAAGGGUGCAAGCGUUACUCGGAAUUACUGGGCGUAAGCGUGCGUAGGUGGUUUGUUAACUCUGCUGUGAAGCCCCGGGCUCACCUGGGAAUGCAGUGGAUACUGGCAAGCUAGAGUGCGGUAGAGGGUAGUGAAUUCCGGUGUAGCGUGAAAUGCGUAGAGAUCGCAGGAACACUCGUGCGAGCGCUACUGACUAUCACUGACACUGAGCACGAAACUGCGUGCAACAGAUAGAUAGCCUGUAGUCACCCCUAACAUGCGAACUGCACGUCGGAGCACU
rnacentral:rRNA from 1 species